GAUGAACGCUAGCGGGAGGCCUAACACAUGCAAGCCGAGCGGUAUUGUUUCUUCGGAAAUGAGAGAGCGGCGUACGGGUGCGGAACACGUGUGCAACCUGCCUUUAUCUGGGGGAUAGCCUUUCGAAAGGAAGAUUAAUACUCCAUAAUAUAUUGAACGGCAUCGUUUAAUAUUGAAAGCUCCGGCGGAUAGAGAUGGGCACGCGCAAGAUUAGCUAGUUGGUGAGGUAACGGCUCACCAAGGCGAUGAUCUUUAGGGGGCCUGAGAGGGUGAUCCCCCACACUGGUACUGAGACACGGACCAGACUCCUACGGGAGGCAGCAGUGAGGAAUAUUGGUCAAUGGGUGCAAGCCUGAACCAGCCAUCCCGCGUGAAGGACGACUGCCCUAUGGGUUGUAAACUUCUUUUGUAUAGGGAUAAACCUACCCUCGUGAGGGUAGCUGAAGGUACUAUACGAAUAAGCACCGGCUAACUCCGUGCCAGCAGCCGCGGUAAUACGGAGGGUGCAAGCGUUAUCCGGAUUUAUUGGGUUUAAAGGGUCCGUAGGCGGACUUAUAAGUCAGUGGUGAAAGCCUGUCGCUUAACGAUAGAACUGCCAUUGAUACUGUAAGUCUUGAGUAUAUUUGAGGUAGCUGGAAUAAGUAGUGUAGCGGUGAAAUGCAUAGAUAUUACUUAGAACACCAAUUGCGAAGGCAGGUUACCAAGAUAUAACUGACGCUGAGGGACGAAAGCGUGGGGAGCGAACAGGAUUAGAUACCCUGGUAGUCCACGCCGUAAACGAUGCUAACUCGUUUUUGGGCUUUAGGGUUCAGAGACCAAGCGAAAGUGAUAAGUUAGCCACCUGGGGAGUACGCUCGCAAGAGUGGAACUCAAAGGAAUUGACGGGGGCCCGCACAAGCGGUGGAUUAUGUGGUUUAAUUCGAUGAUACGCGAGGAACCUUACCAAGACUUAAAUGGGAAUUGACAGCUUUAGAAAUAGAGCUUUCUUCGGACAAUUUUCAAGGUGCUGCAUGGUUGUCGUCAGCUCGUGCCGUGAGGUGUUAGGUUAAGUCCUGCAACGAGCGCAACCCCUGUCACUAGUUGCCAUCAUUCAGUUGGGGACUCUAGUGAGACUGCCUACGCAAGUAGAGAGGAAGGUGGGGAUGACGUCAAAUCAUCACGGCCCUUACGUCUUGGGCCACACACGUAAUACAAUGGCCGGUACAGAGGGCAGCUACACAGCGAUGUGAUGCAAAUCUCGAAAGCCGGUCUCAGUUCGGAUUGGAGUCUGCAACUCGACUCUAUGAAGCUGGAAUCGCUAGUAAUCGCGCAUCAGCCAUGGCGCGGUGAAUACGUUCCCGGGCC
rnacentral:rRNA from 1 species